AGCGAACGCUGGCGGCAGGCUUAACACAUGCAAGUCGAGCGGGCCCUUCGGGGUCAGCGGCAGACGGGUGAGUAACGCGUGGGAACGUGCCCUUCGGUUCGGAAUAACUCAGGGAAACUUGAGCUAAUACCGGAUACGCCCUUAUGGGGAAUGGUUUACUGCCGAAGGAUCGGCCCGCGUCUGAUUAGCUAGUUGGUGAGGUUAUGGCUCACCAAGGCGACGAUCAGUAGCUGGUCUGAGAGGAUGAUCAGCCACACUGGGACUGAGACACGGCCCAGACUCCUACGGGAGGCAGCAGUGGGGAAUAUUGGACAAUGGGGGCAACCCUGAUCCAGCCAUGCCGCGUGAGUGAUGACGGCCCUAGGGUUGUAAAGCUCUUUUCUCCGGGACGAUAAUGACGGUACCGGAGGAAUAAGCCCCGGCUAACUUCGUG
rnacentral:rRNA from 1 species